rnacentral:rRNA from 1 species
GCGUAACGCGUGGGAAUCUGCCCUCUGGUACGGAAUAACUCAGGGAAACUUGAGCUAAUACCGUAUAAUGACUUCGGUCCAAAGAUUUAUCGCCUGAGGAUGAGCCCGCGUCGGAUUAGCUAGUUGGUGAGGUAAAAGCUCACCAAGGCGACGAUCCGUAGCUGGUCUGAGAGGAUGAUCAGCCACACUGGGACCGAGACACGGCCCAGACUCCUACGGGAGGCAGCAGUGGGGAAUAUUGGACAAUGGGCGAAAGCCUGAUCCAGCAAUGCCGCGUGAGUGAUGAAGGCCUUAGGGUUGUAA